rnacentral:RNase_P_RNA from 1 species
CAGCUCCGCCAAACGGUCGCGCGGUAUGUUGCCGAAAGGUAUUACCGUGAGUACAGUCCGGGCUUCAUAGGACAGGAUAGCUGAUAACGUCAGCCACGGGUAACCGUCGGGAAAGUGCAACAGAAAUAAACCGCCGCUUAUGCGGUAAGGAUGGAAAGGCGAGGUAAGAGC